AUGGUUUCAGAUAUCCGCUAGUGUCUCUCGAACGGAGACGUGUUUCCGACCUCGGAAGUGUUUUGAAAAUACGCUCGUUGCGAGAAACGAGAGAGUACCUUGAUUUACGAUACAAACAAGCAUCAUACGAUCCCUCCCGUACAUGCGUUAGUAAAUCCGGCCCCUUGACCGCACCUACUUCUCGCUUUAGUAACACUACACAUACUUUUUUUUUUAGCAACAUGGAGCACAAGGACUUAUUCUCUGUUCUCGCCAAAGUUUCGUGUAUGAUUUUAUGAAGAAAGAAGAAAGGAAGUCAAAAAGUUUAUGAGUGAAAGUGGAGAAAAUAGGAGACUUACGUGGUUUCAAUAAGCUCGUGAGGGAGUUAUAACUGGAGGACAGCUGCGGUUUCUACGAAUUUCACAGGAUGAACAAGGAGCAUUUUUAUAAGUUGUUUAAUCUUGUGAGGUGAGAAGGGCAAUUCAAGCAGACCAAAACUUGCCAUUAACACUUCGACAUGUAGCAACGGGAGAAUCACGUCGUUCACUGAUGUAUCAGUACAGGAUAAGCCAUUGUCAGAUCUCGAGGAUUAUUCCUGAAGUGUGUAAAGCCAUUUACGACACUAUGAAAGGCAAUACUUUCAGCUGCUAUCAACAUCUGAAGGGUGACAAGAUGUAGCAAGUGCUUUCAGUACACUCUGGAGCAUUGAUGGCAAGCGAUUUUUGAUGCAAUGGCCGACAGAUACUACGAUAAUAAGGCUCACCGCAGCGUUAUCAUGCUUGCUUGGUUAAUGCUUUGUAUGUUGACCAGCACCACUUGCACGACCUUGUGGCUCAAGCCCCAAGGCCGUGCAAGUGAUGCUGGUCAAGGAGCAGCUGUGAAUCCUCCAUAAUUAUCUCAGGGUAAAAUGUGAAGCAACUGCACAGACUGAGUUGUUAGAUAAUGAAAAUCAUGCUGCAGGAAUUAGACUACAGUAAGGUGUUGAAGGAUUGCAGGUUAGGAAGAGUAAGACAUAUAUUUUCUCUCUCUCUCUCAUCUGUUACAAAUACCAUGGCAGGAGAGGAUGGCUCUACAUCAGAAGGAAAGUUUUGAUUGGGAGUAUUCUGUUUUUUGUUUUUUGUUUUUUUUUUCUUUCUUUCUUUCUUUUUUUUUUUUUUUUUUUAAGUAAUAAUGUCGACUGUUCACUGAUGUUUGCUAAAAUGUUUAUAUUUUUUUGUAUAAAUUCAUCUUCGUUGAAAUUAGAAGGUUGGUAGUAUUGUCAUGUUUGUUUAUUGUAGUUAUAAGCUUUGUGUUUUAUAAUAUUGUAAUUUGAAAGAUAUUGUCGAUUUUUCAGACCCGAGGAUAGAAUCCAGGUGGAUUUCGAAACUAGUCUCAUUUUCAAUAAAUCUAGUUUUUUGUAUUGUGAAUUUUUCUUCCAUUGUCGAUUUUGUAAUAUCUUGUUUAUUGUCUAAGAAGUGUUACUGAUUCUACUAUAUGUUUUGUGAUAAUAUAAAUUUGUGUAUUUA